UGAAAUCGUUUUCACUUUGAAAUCGGAAAUUUUGAACAGUUUUCAACAAUUGUUGAAAAUUUCUACGAUUGGCAACAUAACUGUGUCAGAAAUUCCCUCUCCCAUUUCACUGUCUGAAAAAAAAAGACAAUAAAAAGGCAGAAUUUUCACUUCUAUGGAAAUACCCAGAUGUGCAUGUCUCUAUAAGAGGUGGUACAGUUCUACCAAAUGGAAAUUUUUUGUGUGCGGAUAAUAAAAGUACACAUUGCGUUCUCUUUACGGAGGAGAACCAAACCAUCGUACAGCACGGUACAGCGUUUGAUGUUGAGCCGAAUCCAUGGGAAAUCCUGCUGGAUGAUGGGGUCCUUUAUAUUACCCAACGUAAUGAAGAAAUCUCACACAUUCAACGAUUUUCAGCAGACGAUUUCCACCCUAUGGACCCGGUAUACGUAGAUACUUGUUGCUCUGGGCUCACUGUUAUUGGAGAUUUACUAUUUGUUGUGUCUAACUACUGCUGCAUCUGAAAAUUGAAUAAACACGGGAAAGGUUUCACGGAAAGCAUUUACCAAAUACAGUCAAGAGGUUUGAGAUAUCUAACUGAUAUCGAAGAUGACAUGCUGAUUUGUAGCAAUUUUACUGAUCAUUCAGUUAUAGCUCUUGGUGCAUAUGGCAAUGAAAUCUGGACUUUCAAACACAGUGAAUUAAAAGGACCAUAUGGUUUAGAUAAGGAUCCUCAGAACAACAUCUAUGUUGUGGGGAAAAAGAGCAACAACAUCCACAUUUUGUCCAGGGAAGGGUCUCAUCUAAGAAUUAUAAAAAAUAUUACGAAUCCAGUGGGUAUACACUUCAAAGCAUUUUCUUUCACGUGUUUUGUUGUGUGUCAGUCAAAUUCUUCGUCCCAGUUAAUGUUAUCGAUUCAAAUAAGGUGCUUAGUUUAUACUUCAUACUAUUUGUACGUUUGUGCAUUCUGUGGACUUAUUAAUGAAUUGUGUACAAUUACAAAUCACGGAAGAAAAUAUAUGAAUCAGACUUAGAAAAAAUGAUUAUAUUCAUAAUAUAUAAUAUGCACUAAUUUUGUUGAAUAAAUAUGAAAUGGU
rnacentral:sRNA from 1 species